AUUGAACGCUGGCGGCAGGCCUAACACAUGCAAGUCGAACGAGUGGCGGACGGGUGAGUAAUGUCUGGGAAACUGCCCGAUGGAGGGGGAUAACGACUGGAAACGGUAGCUAAUACCGCAUCCCAUCGGAUGUGACCAGAUGGGAGGAGCUAGUAGGUGGGGCAACGGCGCACCAGGGCGACGAUCCAUAGCUGGUCUGAGAGGAUGAGCAGCCAUACUGGAUGUGUGACACGGUCCAGACGCCUACGGGAGGCAGCAGUGGGGAAUCUUGCACAAUGGGCGAAAGCCUGAUGCAGCCAUGCCGCGUGUAUGAAGAAGGCCUUCGGGUUGUAAAGUACUUUCAGCGAGGAGGCGUUACUCGCAUAAUAAGCACCGGCUAACUCCGUGCCAGCAGCCGCGGUAAUAC
rnacentral:rRNA from 1 species